GCUUCUGUGGCUCAGUUGGUAGAGCAGCUGAUUUGUAAUCAGCAGGUCCUCGGUUCGAGUCCGAGCAGAAGCUCCA
rnacentral:tRNA from 1 species